rnacentral:rRNA from 1 species
CCUACGGGAGGCAGCAGUGAGGAAUAUUGGUCAAUGGCCGGAAGGCUGAACCAGCCAUGCCGCGUGAAGGUCAGUGCCCUUUGGGCGUUAAACUUCUUUUGUGCGGGAGCAAUCAUGGUCACGUGUGGCCAGACGAGAGUACCGUACGAAUAAGCAUCGGCUAACUCCGUGCCAGCAGCCGCGGUAAUACGGGGGUUGCAUGCGUUAUCCGGAUUUAUAGGGUUUAAAGGGUGCGUAAGCUGUGAGGUAAGUCAGCGGUGAAAUGCCCCCGCUCAACGGGGUGAAGUGCCAUUGAUACUGCCUGGCUGGAAUGCGGAUGCCGUGGGAGGAAUGUGGGGUGUAGCGGUGAAAUGCAUAGAUAUCACACAGAACACCGAUUGCGAAGGCAUCUCACGAAUCCGCGAUUGACGCUGAGGCACGAAAGCGUGGGUAUCAAACAGGAUUAGAUACCCUAGUAGUC